UAGGGAAUAUUGGACAAUGGGCGCAAGCCUGAUCCAGCAAUGCCGCGUGAGUGAUGAAGGCCUUAGGGUUGUAAAGCUCUUUUACCCGGGAUGAUAAUGACAGUACCGGGAGAAUAAGCUCCGGCUAACUCCGUGCCAGCAGCCGCGGUAAUACGGAGGGAGCUAGCGUUGUUCGGAAUUACUGGGCGUAAAGCGCACGUAGGCGGCGAUUUAAGUCAGAGGUGAAAGCCCGGGGCUCAACCCCGGAAUAGCCUUUGAGACUGGAUUGCUUGAAUCCGGGAGAGGUGAGUGGAAUUCCGAGUGUAGAGGUGAAAUUCGUAGAUAUUCGGAAGAACACCAGUGGCGAAGGCGGCUCACUGGACCGGCAUUGACGCUGAGGUGCGAAAGCGUGGGGAGCAAACA
rnacentral:rRNA from 1 species